GUUGGAGUGGCAGAGCCCGGCUAUGCAGAGGUCCUAAGAUCCUUGAACGAAGGUUCAAAUCCUUCCCCCAACU
rnacentral:tRNA from 1 species